CCCCCGCAACGACGUAAAACAAGUGCGUGGUCUGCACCUCAGCGGUGCAGGCAACACCGUUCAAGUGCUGAGAGCCCCGAGACACUCGGGGCAACCAGCAGCCAGCACGCUCGCGGCUGGUGCACAGAUCAUUCGACGGUGACCUUAUGGUUGAGAUAUGACCGGUCCCAGGCCUUUGAAGGCCCCGGAAGCAGCGGAACCUGCGGAAGGAUCAUUACCGAGAGACGGGGUCUAACCGGCCCCACCUCUUCACCCGUGUCUAUCUACCUAUGUUGCUUUGGCGGGUCCGGGCACGUUCCGGGGAGCUCAUCGUUCCUUUGUGCCCGCCAAAAGCCCCAAUCAAUCCUGUUAUCAGUGUCGUCCGAGUAAACAUACAAUAGUUAAAACUUUCAACAACGGAUCUCUUGGUUCU
rnacentral:misc_RNA from 1 species